AAACAAACACACCUGAACUCUCUAAUCAGUCAAGAUGUUUGAAAUUACCACAAACCUCCAGAGACAUGUGUCGGAGAUGAACUCUUCAUCUCUUCACCUGAGGUGGCCCUCAGGAAACACUGGAGAAUUUGAAUAUGAUGUCAUGACAUCAAAAGGAGAGCGGCAUACAAGCACGGGCACAGCUGUAAUAAAUCCCCAAACAAGCAAGACAAUCAUCCCUCCUGGUAAGAAAGACGGAUUUGUUUUCGCAUAUUUGGUCGUAUUUGAGGAAUUCCUUCUCAAAGUGACAUUCUGACAGUCCUGGACAUCCGCAGCGAAACAUGACUGAACUCGGCUUUCUGAAGAUCUGUUUCUUCGGAACCGCGUUUUCCUUUCUGCUGGCUCUGUUUGGUCUGGUUGAUUCGGUCGGAGGUCUGAUGUAUCCUCAAGGACCAGACUGGGCAGACGACAGCUGGACGGAGAAGCUUCCCCCUGGGUCUUCAUCACAGACUUCUGUGGCUGCCAACAACACAAAGCGCCACGAGUCGAGGUGAUCUUCUCCACUGCCAUCGGUGGCAAGUCUCUAAUUGCACUAGGAGAAAUAAUCGGUGCAUUGUUACUGACCUACUAAAGCCUGCUGUGGAAUUAUUUCCUCCAUUACACUACUGUGAGUCAGACAUGAAGAACAUCAAAAAGGGCUGAUCAUUCUACAAGCCAUAUGAGACGUCAAUUCUUCCCACUCAUCAGAUUUUUUUACAUGAUUAUUCUGGUUUCUGCAAAGAACUUGUCUGACUUUAUAUGAAGAAAGCUUGCAAGAGUAGAAAACAAAAUCUUCAGGAAAGAUUGAAAGCUUAAAAAUACUACAAACAUGAUACAUGA